UGGCUAGAACAGACAGUCGCCGCGUAUCGCGUCAGGCAUACGGGGAGGAAAGUCCGGGCUGCACAGAGCGAAAUGCCAGCUAACGGCUGGGCGUGGCAACACGACGGAAAGUGGAACAGAAAGCAAAACCGCCGAUGGUUUUUUCAAACACAGGUAAGGGUGAAAAGGUGCGGUAAGAGCGCACCGCGUUGUUGGCAACAACACACGGCAGGCUAAACCCCAUUUGCAGCAAGACCAAACAGAACGCGCAGACGCUGCUCGCCGAGCGUUCGGGUAGGUUGCUUGAACUUGUUGGCAACGGCAAGUCUAGAGGAAUGACUGUCCAACGACAGAACCCGGCUUAUCGUUUUAACCAUGUG
rnacentral:RNase_P_RNA from 1 species